rnacentral:rRNA from 1 species
UGGGGAAUAUUGGACAAUGGGGGCAACCCUGAUCCAGCAAUGCCGCGUGAGUGAUGAAGGCCUUAGGGUUGUAAAGCUCUUUUGCCAGGGAAGAUGAUGACUGUACCUGGAGAAUAAGCCCCGGCUAACUUCGUGCCAGCAGCCGCGGUAAUACGAAGGGGGCUAGCGUUGUUCGGAAUUACUGGGCGUAAAGGGCGCGUAGGCGGCCGUUUAAGUUAGGUGUGAAAGUCCUGGGCUCAACCUGUGGACUGCACUUAAUACUGGAUGGCUUGAAUUCGGGAGAGGAUAGCGGAAUUCCCAGUGUAGAGGUGAAAUUCGUAGAUAUUGGGAGGAACAUCCGUUGCGAAGGCGACUCUCUGGACCAAUACUGACGCUGAGACGCGAAAGCGUGGGGAGCAAACA